rnacentral:rRNA from 1 species
CUACGGGGGGCUGCAGUGAGGAAUUUUGCGCAAUGGGGGAAACCCUGACGCAGCAACGCCGCGUGAGUGAUGAAGGCCCUCGGGUCGUAAAGCUCUGUCAAGUGGGAAGAAUCUAUCGAUAUUGAAUAGAUAUUGAUACUGACGGUACCACAAGAGGAAGCACCGGCUAACUCCGUGCCAGCAGCCGCGGUAAUACGGGGGGUGCAAGCGUUAUUCGGAAUCAUUGGGCGUAAAGGGCGCGCAGGCGGCCUUGUCAGUCAGAUGUGAAAGCCCGGGGCUCAACCCCGGAAGUGCAUUUGAAACUAUGAGGCUUGAGUAUGGGAGAGGGAAGUGGAAUUCCUGGUGUAGCGGUGGAAUGCGUAGAUAUCAGGAGGAACACCGGUGGCGAAGGCGACUUCCUGGACCAAUACUGACGCUGAGGCGCGAAGGCGUGGGGAGCAAACAGGAUUAGAUACCCUUGUAGUC